rnacentral:rRNA from 1 species
UCCGUAGGCGGAUCGAUAAGUCAGAGGUGAAAUCCCACAGCUUAACUGUGGAACUGCCUUUGAAACUGUUGGUCUUGAGUUAUAUGGAAGUAGAUAGAAUGUGUAGUGUAGCGGUGAAAUGCAUAGAGAUUACACAGAAUACCGAUUGCGAAGGCAGUCUACUACGUAUAUACUGACGCUAAUGGACGAAAGCGUGGGGAGCGAACAGGAUUAGAUACCCUGGUAGUCC